GUAGGUGAACCUGCGGAAGGAUCAUUACUGAGUUCAUGCCCUAACGGGUAGAUCUCCCACCCUUGAAUAUAUAAACCUUUGUUGCUUUGGCGGGCCGCUUCGGCUACCGGCUUCGGCUGGUGAGUGCCCGCCAGAGGACCCAAACUCUAAUGUUUCUUAUUGUAACUUCUGAGUAAAACAAACAAAUAAAUCAAAACUUUCAACAACGGAUCUCUUGGUUCUG
rnacentral:misc_RNA from 1 species